rnacentral:piRNA from 1 species
UGUAAGGGACAAGUAGGACAUCGGAG